CCCACACAUCCCUCCCUGGACCCCUCUCGGCAGCAAAUGCCUGAGCUGAUACUCCCGUUUUUACAGAUGCAGAAAAUUUUCAUGCCUUAACUCACGUCAAUGCUGUGGGACUCCAAAAAAAGUUCCCCCACAUGGAAACAAGCUAAAACCAUUGUGCGCCACUGUCCUACUUGCCAAGUGUUAAUUUUACAGCCACUGUCUUCAGGAGUUAACCCUAGAGGACUUUCACAGAACCCUCUCUGGCAAAUGGACGUGACUCAUUAUCCUGCUUUUGGCAAGCUCUCUUUUAUACAUGUAACUAUCGACACUUUUUCUCAUUUUAUCUGGGCCACUUGUCACCCAGGGGAAAGUACAGCUCAUGGUAAACGACAUGUGCUUUCAUGUUUCUCGGUUAUGGGCUGUCCUGAGAAACUGAAAACUGAUAACGGCCCCGGCUACACUGGUGCUGCUUUUAAAAAGUUCACUCAAACAUGGGCAAUUACUCACACAACUGGCAUCCCCUGUAACUCUCAAGGACAGGCCUUGGUGGAAUGAGCCAAUAAAACACUCAAAAAUCAACUUUGAAAACAGGACACUAAAACAAAGAGGGAUGCUGCUACUCCUCAUGCUCAAUUAAAUCUGGCUCUUUUUACCCUAAAUUUCUUAAACAUAGCAAGAAAUCAACCUUUUUCCACAGCAGAACAAUAUUUCACUGGAAAUAAAUUUGAUCCACAAAAAGGAAUGCGGGUAUGGUGAAAAUAUUCAAAAACUAACAAUGGGACUUAGGCACAGUUGUAACAUGGGGUAGGGGUUUUGCUUGUGUUUCCCCAGGAAAAGGACUACAGCCCAUGUGGGUCCCCUCCCGACAAUUAAAAUUGUACCAUAACUCCAAAGAUGAAACGCUCCCGGAAACAAAAGGCAAAGACUCCUCAAACCAAAGAGCAACUUUUGCUGCCUGACACAUAAACUUCAUGACCUCGACAUUGAGACAAGAUCUCGCCAUGUGACAUAUAACACCUCUCAUUAAACUCCACCAACAUGGGGUCAAAUAAAAGUUUUGUCUCAUCAAACAGAAAAUUUAUUAAAAGAAAAAGGAAUCCCAGAAACAACAGUCUGCAGAUGCCUCCAAGAAGUCCAAAAACAAGUCCGAAGUCCGACGAGCAAUGGUGGCGAUGGCGAUUCUAGUUAAUAAAAAGGGGGGAGAUGUGGGCGGCAAGCCACCCAGGUGCUGAGGCAAGAGACCGAGGGCACAAGCUGUUCCAGUAUAAUAAAAUAUAUAAAAUAAGAAUAGUUAUACUAGAUAUAGAUCAUAGAGAUGAUUAUAUAUGAAUAUCAUUAAUCAUUAGUUUGUAGCAAUUACUGUUUAUUCCAAUAUUAUAAUAAUCCUCACUCUACAAUCAUAACCUAGGGAAAACCAGGCCAUACAGAGAUAAGAGCUGAGGGGACAUAGUGAAAAGUGACCAAAAGACAAGAGUGUGAGCCUUCUCUUAUGCCCAGACAGGGCCACCAGAGGGCUCCUUAGUCUAACGGUAACGCCAGCAUCUGGGAAGAUGCCCGUUGCCAAGCGGACCAUGGUCUAGUGGUAGUAUCAGUGUCAAGGAAAAACACCCACUACUUAGCCGACCAGGAAAGGGAGUCUCCCUUUCCCUGGGGGAGUUUAGAGAAGACUCUACUCCUCCACCUCUUGUGGAGGGCCUGACAUCAGUCAGGCCCACCCGCAGUUAUCCGGAGGCCUAGCCAUCUCCCUGUGAUGCUGUGCUUCAGUGGUCAUGCUCCUAGUCUGCCGUCAUGUUCCAUCCUGUACACCUGGCUCUGCCUUUUCGGUAACAGUAGCAAAAUUAGUGAAAGUACUAAAAGUCUCUGAUAUGCAGAAAUAAUGGCGUAAGCUGUCUCUCUCCUCUUUCUCUCUGCCUCGGCUGCCAGGCAAGGAAGGGCCCCCUGUCCAGUGGACACAUAAGCCACAUGACCUUACUUAUGACUGGAGAUGGCUCACACUCCUUACUCUGCCCC
rnacentral:lncRNA from 1 species